AAGGAUAUCUUUCUGGAGAUCUCUUCUUUUGAAGUUUUACAGUGAGCCCAGGUUAAGGGGCAUGCCACUGGAACCAAUGCUCAUGACAGCCUAGUGAAAAAAUGUCACAGAACAUCUGAUCUUGAAUAGGAAGCCACUGAAAUGAUUAAGUGUACCAGAAGUCUGCAUAAAAUGCCUGGGUGACCUCCAAAGCACUAUAAGAAGUAUCAAAGAAAAUUUUAAAACCUGAAUGAUCAAGUUAUAGAAAUUAAAGCCAUAUCUCAGCUUGUUGGAAACGCUGUUAAAAUAAAGAGACAGAGAGUGGCUGCAGAGUGGCAGAAGAGCAAGGCCACAGCUCUUUCAUGGCAUCUCUAACAAGCAAGUGUGCUACACAGAAAGUAUCUUUCUGUUGAAGUUUGUUUUAAUGAUAUUCCAAAAAGAAAGCAUAGGUAAAUAAUGUAAACAGAUGAAGAGUGCCUAUUCCAAAUAAUCAUCCUUGUCCAUUCACUUUAUAUAUACUUAUUUCCAUACAAAGUCUUUAUUUCUUCAUGGUUAAAGGAGCUGUGCACAUGCAGAUAGAGGUAUUCUGGUUUCUCUUUAGGACAAAAUUAAUAAAACCUGCUACAAAGUGUAUUGUUAAGAGGAGAAUUGCUUUGUGGUGCCAUUUUAUAUCUCAAAACACUCAAGUGCUGGCUAAGCGUCACAGUGUCUCUCUGCAGAGAGGUAUCAAAUUGGCUGGAUGUAUAGUCAUUAAAAUCCUUGUGGUAUUAUCUUAGGUGUAUAAUCUGAAUUGUAAAAUGUCUCUAAUGUCACAUGGUUCAGGAGGUGCUAUGUGGUGAUUGCUCCUUUUGGUAUUUGGGGUUUUUUUGCAGGAUGGGUUGAGGUUGCUGUUAAAACUAGCUGUUCAGGCAGCACUGUCCAGGUAAUCACACCUCACCUCCAGUCAGCCUUGUCGCACCUGCUGACUCACUGCUGCUCCUGCUGA